CACCUGCACUUGGACAGAAAGACACUAUGAAUCUUCAUUGAUCCUUGGGAUUGGCUUUGGGCCUUUCAUGCGCAACUUAUGUAAAAGGCGACGAAGGCCUCCUUCCGGGGGCGGGGCGAGCCAUCAGUGAGAUAUCACUUUGGAAGGCCAACAUUUUAACCUUGUGUUCUAUAAGGCGUAAGCCUAAAGGGUAACAGAGGCAUGCAAAGGUUUCCUUGGGCUAGACGAAGAUUGGCCCUCAAGUGCAAAGGCAGAAAGGAGUUUGACUGCUAAACCCACCCAUCGAGCAGGGAUGAAAGUCGGCCUUAGUGAUUCGAUGGUGUCGAGUGGAAGGGCCAUCACUCAACUGAUAAAAGUUACUCUAGAGAUAACAUACUGAUCUUCCCUGAGAUCUUAUAUCGACGAGAAGGAUUGACACUUCGAUGUCGGGUCUUCGCCACCUAGGGUUGUAGUAUGUUCCAAGGGUUGGAUUGUUUGCCCGCUAAAGAGGUACGUGAGCUGGGUUCAGAACGUCGUGAGAUAGUUAGGUCCAUAUCUGGUGAGGGCGUUAGAGCGUUGAGAGGAUCUUUCCAUUGUACGAGAGGACAAGAAAGGACGCACCUUUAGUGUACCAGUUAUCAUACCCACGGUAAACGUUGGGUAGCCAAGUGCGGAGCAGAUAACUGCUGAAAGCAUCUUAGUAGUAAGCCCACCCCAAGAAGAGUGCUCUCAUAUUCCAACUUCCCCAGAUCUUCCAGUAGCACAACCGAGACAAUGAUGGGUUCUCUGCCCCUGUGAGGAUGGAGCGACAUAAGUUGUUUUGUGAAUUCAAGAGAAGGUCACGGCGAGACGAGUCGUUUAUCAUUGCGAUAGGUGUCAAGUGGAAAUGCAGUGAUGUGUGCAGCUGAGGCAUCCUAACAGACGGGUAGACUU
rnacentral:rRNA from 1 species